rnacentral:tRNA from 1 species
GCGGGUGUAGUUUAGUGGUAAAACUACAGCCUUCCAAGCUGUUUUCGCGAGUUCGAUUCUCGUCACCCGCU